rnacentral:lncRNA from 1 species
UAAUUAACCUAUAGAAUAAUGUCUCUAUAGAUAAGAGAGAAAACAUUGAGUUAAUGUGCCAGACUGAAUUGAAUUGAAUUAUAUACUAUCAUUUUUUCCUAGUCUCUGCUGACAAUCUUCUUUUGAUUUUAGGCAGCCUGCAAACCUCUAGUAAAUAUUUACUAGGUGUCAGGUAUUGUGCUGAGCACUAUACAUAACUGUAAAAAAGGGAAGAGGUGAAGUAACUCCUGCCCUGAAAGAACUCAUGUGCUAUCUGGGAAGACAACAGCUAGUCAGCUGGUUUCUUCAAGCAGGAACAAGGAAGUCCUGAGGG